rnacentral:rRNA from 1 species
UACGUAGGGGGCUAGCGUUGUCCGGAAUCAUUGGGCGUAAAGCGCGUGUAGGCGGUUCGGUAAGUCGGCUGUGAAAGUCCAGGGCUCAACCCUGGGAUGCCGGUCGAUACUGCCGGACUAGAGUUCGGAAGAGGCGAGUGGAAUUCCCGGUGUAGCGGUGAAAUGCGCAGAUAUCGGGAGGAACACCAAUGGCGAAGGCGACUAUCUGGGCCAACACUGACACUGAGGCACGAAAGCGUGGGGAGCAAACAGG